GUUAGGGCCUGAGCAGAAUGGCUGACUUAUAACCUUAAAACACUGUUUUAUGCCCUAAGUCUUUGUCUUAGGUAACGCACAAUACUGUGUUAAUGUUUCCUGUCUUGUGUAGUAUACGCGACGUUUUAAGGAAUAAACGUAAAACGUAUAUUAAAAUAAUGUAUAGAAAUAAGCAAUUUUUAUUGCUUGUUUUACAAUGGAUGCUUUUGUAUAAAUUAUUAAAACGAAAAAAAAAACAAAUUAGAUGGUAUAAAAGAAGAUGAUAUCUUGCCACUGGAGAUCUUCCUUUGUCUAUCGCUCUAUCAUUUCGAAUUGGUGAAUCAACAAUGCGUAUGUUAAUUAAAGAAGUAUGUCAGAUAUUAAUAAAUGUAUUACAACCACUGUA